GUCCCUAAAUUUCAAAUAUUUUUCAUUUCUUCUUCGGCCCCCCGAACCCCCGAUGGUUCCCUCACUGUCUUUGCUCCUCCAAUUCUCUCUUGCCAUCUGCUCACUCUCUCUCUCUCGGCCUCCUCGAAUUGCCUUAUGAUUCCUAACCCCAGCCAAUCCCAUGGGCCAUCACCCACAACCUUUCAAGCAACUCCGACCCUAUAAAUGGAGAGCCAAAAUUUCUUUCUUUUCCUGCUUUCCUGAAGUAAGGAAAAGAUUCCAAGACUCUCAAGGAGGAGAUGCUUGAAGCCAUUGCCCUUGGAUCGCGGAGCAGAUGUAACUGUCGAAGACCAGCAAAGUUCUCUUACCUUUGCAGGAUGAAGUACCAGUGGAUGCUACCCUCUGUAAAAACAACAACAUCAAAGCUUUUUACCCUGGUCAGUGUUCCCAUGAUCCCAUGAUUACAACUCUCUCCUCUUGCUUCUUUCCUUCCAGUUUGAUAACAUCAGUUAUUUAUAUCUUUUCCCAACUUCUAGAGUGCUUGUUCUUCUAACAAUGCUGCAUCUUUAACCUUAUUUUUGAGUUUUUCUACUUUUUAUGUUUUCUGGUUUCAUUAGAGGUCGUGAUAAAUACUUCUGAGUUAUUUUUUAUAAGUAAAAGGGAAAGUAAUAUUAAAAUAAAUACUUAAGAGUUAUCACCAAACCAUGGGAACCGAUCUUUUCUAAACUGAUUAGGUGGCAUAGACUAGGCCAAAACUUAACAUAAUUGAUCUUCUAACACAAGUGAAAAUGUUUUCAAUCACUAAAACGUAUCCUUUUUGCUGCUUUUAUCCCCUGCAUCUUCUAACACAAGUGGAUUGUCAUAUAUAUCAUCAAGGAAGUUUAUGUAUAUCAUUUAGUAAGCUCUAAUCAACAUGGAAGAUGCUUUGAGAAGCUUGUAAACUCUGACCCAAUUUACUGAUUUUUUUUUUCUUAAAGCAUUUCAUACUUUCUGAAGAGCAUUAGCACCUCUUUUCAAGAAUAUGAUGAUGCUUCCUCCUCCAUCCCCCUGCUGGAGAAAAGAAUUUUCAGGAAAAAUGUUUGCCUUAGAAUAUCUUAGUUUGUUCUGCAUAGCUAGAAUUUUGCUUUCUUUUUUACUGGUUUUUACAUAUAAGAUAACAAUGAGUUUUGUAUAGUUAUAUUAACUUGAGCAUAUUUUAAAAGGUGAGGAUUCGGUCUUGGAUGAAAUUGUAUGAACAAAAUAGGCUAGGUAUCCUUUGAAUGGAAGAGUCAUUUUAGUUGAGGAUGAUUCACAUUCUACAAGAAGCAGUGAGCAAAACAUGUCAAAUCAACUUUUUAUGUUGUUGUAAUAUGAAAUUGAAUUGGGCAAUUAAUUAUGAUGAUUCUACUCGAGGGAUCUAAUAAUACAGCAUAAAUUUGUGAUUAGAUAAUAUAGCAUCAUCUAUGUGCAUACUAAAUAUGCUUUGAGAUUCUGACAAGAUUUUGCUGUGCAAGUUGAGAGUCCCUGGAUGCUGCAUUCGUUGCAAAAGAAUGUGGCACCUAUUGGAGUUGCACUCCAGGCUUUGUACUAGUUAUGAUGUUUGUAGGGUGCCUUUUGUGCAGGGACAUCUAAAUUAUAUUCUUCAGUUGCAGCAGCUAAAGACACUUUCUCUUGGAGCUUAUUCAGAGCUUGGCGAGCUUAGAAAGAAGGUGGAAGUGCAGUAUGCAUUCUGCUUUGUCUACAAAUGAAAAUGAAACUUCAUCAAGUAGAGAAUCACUCUCAUUGCCACAUUUGAAUCAAAAUCAGGUCUCCUUAGGGCAGUAUAUUACUUUGUAGUUUGGAAGAUACCAUUAGUCUUCCCACAUCCAUCAAAAGUGUUGUUGGAUUAAAGCACCUUGUAUUGAUGGAUUGCCUUUAACUUUAAGAAAUUCUAGAGCUUCCCUCCAAAAAAAGUUCCAAUUCAAAAUCAGCAACUUAAGAGCACUAAGAUAGAUUGAAUUGCUCGAAUGUCAUGACAUAUCUGUGUUUUUUUCUUUUUUA